GCGUUGCUACGGACUGCGCGCCCGCGCUUUGUAGUCGCGCGUUGCUACGGAUUCAGCUCCGCAUUUUCACGCAUGCGCCAGAGAGGUUGAGGCGGAUUAACCCGAGUCAAGCCGAAUGGCGCUGAACUCAAGUCGAUUCGGAGGGAGCCGAGCGGCGACGAACAGAUCUGAACUCGGCCGAACGGCGCCGAAUCGAGCUAGUCGGAACCGGAGCGGAACGAGUGAAGACGGAGCGAGCUGAGUCACUCCGGCUGGAGCGGAAGGAGCUGAGCCGAGGCGGAGGGAGUGGAGCUGUCCAAGGCCGAGAGGGACGGAGCCGCCGUCCUUUCGGGGGAAAGGAAAACUUCAUGCAUUCUCUGAGAGAGGUUCGUUCUUUUUUGUCUCAUGCAAGAGUAUUCAGCAGAUAAAUUGAUCAGCAGCGGCGGAUCUGAGACACGUUUUAGAACAACUCGCGCUCAGGACCUCCAGCCAUGCCCCUUUUGGCAUCUUCAAGACAAAUGUGGACAGCAGGGCAAGGGAGGGGAUUCUGCCCUAUUAAUCUGCUCUUGUGAGAUCUCAACUGGAGUACUGCGUACAGUUCUGGAGCCCUCAACACAAGAAGGACAUGAAACUGUUGGAGGAGCUUAAUUUCUUUGCCCCAGAUCCAGUUGCAGAUUUGUAUUCGGCCACAGCCACAAAUGCUGGCAGAGUGGGAUGCUUUGGUACCAGAAUGUGAAGCUGUUUUAAAUGCAAUUUCUCAUUGCAAAGGGUUCAGAAAUGGAUUUCCUUUGGAGAAUGGGGGCAGAAAUGUCUCUGUGCACCCCAAGAAGGGCUUGAACUGAGACAGGUUCAGAGAGCUGAAACCAUCCAAUGGUUUAAUCUAUCAGAGCAGCAGGCACAAGAGGUUUGUGACUGCCAGGGAUGAAUGCACCAACUGCAAGGUGGUCUCAGGGUAGUAAAUCUUGGGUAACAUUGACACACUUGAAGAUGUGGCCCUGGUAGUGGAGGCUCCUUGUCUGGAAGGAUUUCAGUAUCCCAGUUGGACAUUGUGAUGCUGGGCAAGCUGCUGUGGGUGCCUCUGCUUUAGCAGGAGGAUUGGACCAGAAGUCCCUUCCAACCCUAGAAAUAUGCCAAACAAAUGAACAAAAACCCCUCCAAAAUGAAACUACUGAUAGUCCAGAAAAGGUGAGAAAAGAACAGUUUUAAAGAUCUCUUGACUUUUGUAUUUUCCUUCCUCUUCCAGGCUGUUCUUUAUGUUCAUCAAAUCAUCAAAGAGUUUGGGUUGGAUGUGACCUCAGAGCUCAUCUAGUUCCAGCCCCUGUGCCCUGGGCAGGGAUAGCUUCCACUAGCCCAGGUUGCGCCAAGCCUGUUUGGGGCUUUUUAGCUUGUUAAUUAAAAUAUUUCAAGUGCCGAGAAAAUCUGAAGCAGUUCUUUUCCCCUCAGGACAGAGAGCACAUUCUGUGGCCUCAGGAUCUGAGAGCGUGUGGUCUGAGCCCGGAAUGCCUGAAGCAGAGGAGCUUCCAACUUCCUGCCUGCCUGUGGCAAGCAGAGGAUUCAGUGCGCCCAGAAAGGACUUGGAGUGGCAGAGGUUCCAAGAGCUGGAAGCAUCCCAUGGUUUAAUGCAUGAGAGCAAGAGGCAGCAUAGAGCCGUGGCUGACAGUGAUAAGUGCAGGACCUGCAGGGCGAUGUCAGGGUAGUAAAUGUUGGGGGGCAUGCGAGAGGGUGGGAGCUGCUGCCCUGUGCGGCAGCUCUGCUAGAAGAGAAAAGCAGCCGGGGCUCAGCCAUGUGCCAGAGGUGCCAAAGUUCGGCAGAAGGAUGUCUCUGGCUUGGGUAGAGAAGAAGGAGCAGAGCCUG